rnacentral:snRNA from 1 species
UUGCUCACUUCAGCAGCAUGUAUGCUAAAAUUGGAACAAUAUGGAGAAAACUAGCAUGGUCCCUGUGCAACGAUGACAUGCAAAUUCCUGAAGUGUUCCAUAUUUUU